rnacentral:rRNA from 1 species
UACGGAGGGUGCGAGCGUUGUCCGGAAUUAUUGGGUUUAAAGGGUGCGUAGGCGGCUAUAUAAGUCAGAGGUGAAAUCCCGGGGCUCAACCUCGGAACUGCCUUUGAUACUGUAUAGCUUGAGUAUACUAGAGGUAGGCGGAAUUGAUGGUGUAGCGGUGAAAUGCAUAGAUAUCAUCAAGAACUCCGAUAGCGAAGGCAGCUUACUGGAGUAUAACUGACGCUGAGGCACGAAAGUGUGGGUAUCGAACAGG